rnacentral:rRNA from 1 species
CCUGCCCUUCAGAGGGGGAUAACAACGGGAAACCGUUGCUAAUACCGCGUACGAUUCAUAAGCGGCAUCGCUUGUGAAUGAAAGGUGGCCUCUAUAUAUAAGCUAUCGCUGAAGGAGGGGAUUGCGUCUGAUUAGCUAGUUGGAGGGGUAACGGCCCACCAAGGCAAUGAUCAGUAGCCGGUCUGAGAGGAUGAACGGCCACAUUGGGACUGAGACACGGCCCAA